ensembl:lncRNA
AUUAGAAAUGCAACAUAAAAACUCUUUAACAGCCUAUUAAAGUAAGACACCACACAAAGCUGCCACAUGAGCUCACCCCGUGUGUCACCAAUGACGAAUACAGUGAUUUCAUCACGUUAGCCAAUGUUUGUUACAUUUCAACAUUUAUUGCGUGAUCCAAGCUGUUUAAAUGAUCGGUCAUGGUCAUGGUGUUCCUGAUAAGCAACACUUUCCCUGUUGUGUUAAUAAAAACACACACACACACAGAGCGAGAGAGAGAGAGAGAGACUUUAAAAUAACAUGAGCACACAUAUGAGGAUGUGGAGUGUGUAGUUCCAAACAUCUGAUUGGAGGAAACAUGUCAAACACUGGUCUAGAAGUAAAUCUGGACCACGGUCCUUUAAUUUAGUUUUCUAAUACAUGAUUGGCAAACGUGCUGUUCUAUCACCUGUUGCUGAGGAGAAAAAAAAUCAAUCACAUUUGGACAACAAAUCUGGUUUCUGUUUUGGUAUCAGACUGUGUGAAGAGGCUGCACUUAUCUUUCAGGACCAAGAACUUGGAAGUGGAACAAAGCCUGACUCAGAAAAAAGGGGGUGAAG